UACGAAGGGGGGCUAGCGUUGCUCGGAAUCACUGGGCGUAAAGGGUGCGUAGGCGGGUCUUUAAGUCAGGGGUGAAAUCCUGGAGCUCAACUCCAGAACUGCCUUUGAUACUGGCGGACUCGAGUCCGGGAGAGGUGAGUGGAACUGCGAGUGUAGAGGUGAAAUUCGUAGAUAUUCGCAAGAACACCAGUGGCGAAGGCGGCUCACUGGCCCGGUACUGACGCUGAGGUGCGAAAGCGUGGGGAGCAAACAGG
rnacentral:rRNA from 1 species